UGGUCCUAGCCUUGAAAUCAACUUUUACUUAACUUACACAUGCAAGUAUCAGCACCCCCGUGAAAACGCCCUUUUAACCCUAAUAGGGAUAAGGAGCUGGUAUCAGGCCCAAUUUUAGCCCAAGACACCUAGCUACGCCACACCCACAAGGGAACUCAGCAGUGAUUAACAUUGACAAUAAGCGCAAGCUUGACUCAGUUAAAGUAGAAUAGAGCCGGCAAAUACCAGUGCCAGCCGCCGCGGCUACACCACGAGGCUCAAGUUGAACUCUAACGGCGUAAAGCGUGAUUAAAGCUAACUUAAACUGUAGUUAAACAAAAGCUAAGCUGUAAUACGCUUGCUUCAUCGAAAACCAAAAACGAAAGUUACUACAAUACAAUCAACUUGAAUUCACGACAGCUAGGAAAUCAAACUGGGAUUAGAUACCCCACUAUGCCUAACCGUAAACCUUAACUUACAUCCAAAUCGCCAGGGAACUACGAGCAAAGCUUAAAACCCAAAGGACUUGACGGUACCCCACAUCCACCUAGAGGAGCCUGUCCUAUAAUCGAUAAUCCCCGUUUAACCUCACCACUCUUAGCCUAUCAGCCUGUAUACCUCCGUCGUCAGCUUACCUCGUGAGCGAUUCUCAGUGAGCUUGAUGCCCACUCGGCUAAACGUCAGGUCAAGGUGCAGCUUACGGAGUGGGAAGAGAUGGGCUACACUUUCUAACUUAGAAAAUACGAAAGACUAUUUAUGAAAUCUAGUCAGAAGGCGGAUUUAGUAGUAAAAGAAGACAAUAAUGCUUUUUUUAACUUGGCACUGGGGUGUGUACACACCGCCCGUCACCCUCUUCAAACCCGAUAUAUUAGUAUUUAACCAAUCAAGGAAAAAUAGAAGAGGCAAGUCGUAACAUGGUAAGUAUACCGGAAGGUGUGCUUGGAAA
rnacentral:ncRNA from 1 species